AUCAUCCCUGCCCAUUAGAGUGAACAAUAUUAGCAAAGGCACUGAGAAGGAAUAAUCUUGGCCUGUUUAUCGAACGGCACUGUUCCAGGCAGGGAGAUCUAGCAGGAUGUAAAGGGCGGGGCCCUGCUCUCAUGGAGCUCACGGUCUCGUGCAGGAAGAUGGCUAAUAAGUAAAUGAGACAUGAUCAAGGCAGUAAAAUGAUCAAUCUUCAAGAGGGUGACGCCACAGACAUCCCCUUCCAUCCGCUUCUGUGCCGAUCAGCUGUGGCAUGAGGGCUACAGCCCCGACGCAGGUGUAAACAUCCGUGUGGCUCUGACACUCCUACACGAGAAUGCUUCUUGGAUUUGCCGUAAAACAGACUAAAAGAACGACAGCUCAGAGAGUUUAAGCAACUUAUCUAAAGUCACACGACUGGUGGAACCAAGCACAGGCCCAAGCUGGCAGUCUGGUCUCAUAACCCUGGUGUGUCCACAGUUGGCUCCUUCCGGUGGGUUCUCACUCUGGCUGACUUCAAGAAUUAAGCCGGGGAUCUUCUCGUGAGGAGCCCUCCAGACCUGCUCCAUAGCGACGGCAGGACCUGCCUCCCAGCAGAGCAGAGAUGAGCUAGUCAGGAGCAGGAGAAAUGAUCUUCAGACUCUGGGGCCCAGCAUUCCCCAGGUUUCCUGCAGGUCUCAAAAUCUAUCUUGAACAAACUUGCUUACAUCAUUUAUUUUUAAAUAAAAAAGAACCACUAUUGGGAGAA
rnacentral:lncRNA from 1 species